AAAUUGAAGAGUUUGAUCAUGGCUCAGAUUGAACGCUGGCGGCAGGCCUAACACAUGCAAGUCGAACGGUAACAGGAAACAGCUUGCUGUUUCGCUGACGAGUGGCGGACGGGUGAGUAAUGUCUGGGAAACUGCCCGAUGGAGGGGGAUAACUACUGGAAACGGUAGCUAAUACCGCAUAACGUCGCAAGACCAAAGAGGGGGACCUUCGGGCCUCUUGCCAUCGGAUGUGCCCAGAUGGGAUUAGCUAGUAGGUGGGGUAAAGGCUCACCUAGGCGACGAUCCCUAGCUGGUCUGAGAGGAUGACCAGCCACACUGGAACUGAGACACGGUCCAGACUCCUACGGGAGGCAGCAGUGGGGAAUAUUGCACAAUGGGCGCAAGCCUGAUGCAGCCAUGCCGCGUGUAUGAAGAAGGCCUUCGGGUUGUAAAGUACUUUCAGCGGGGAGGAAGGGAGUAAAGUUAAUACCUUUGCUCAUUGACGUUACCCGCAGAAGAAGCACCGGCUAACUCCGUGCCAGCAGCCGCGGUAAUACGGAGGGUGCAAGCGUUAAUCGGAAUUACUGGGCGUAAAGCGCACGCAGGCGGUCUGUUAAGUCAGAUGUGAAAUCCCCGGGCUCAACCUGGGAACUGCAUCUGAUACUGGCAGGCUUGAGUCUCGUAGAGGGGGGUAGAAUUCCAGGUGUAGCGGUGAAAUGCGUAGAGAUCUGGAGGAAUACCGGUGGCGAAGGCGGCCCCCUGGACGAAGACUGACGCUCAGGUGCGAAAGCGUGGGGAGCAAACAGGAUUAGAUACCCUGGUAGUCCACGCCGUAAACGAUGUCGACUUGGAGGUUGUGCCCUUGAGGCGUGGCUUCCGGAGCUAACGCGUUAAGUCGACCGCCUGGGGAGUACGGCCGCAAGGUUAAAACUCAAAUGAAUUGACGGGGGCCCGCACAAGCGGUGGAGCAUGUGGUUUAAUUCGAUGCAACGCGAAGAACCUUACCUGGUCUUGACAUCCACAGAACUUUCCAGAGAUGGAUUGGUGCCUUCGGGAACUGUGAGACAGGUGCUGCAUGGCUGUCGUCAGCUCGUGUUGUGAAAUGUUGGGUUAAGUCCCGCAACGAGCGCAACCCUUAUCCUUUGUUGCCAGCGGUCCGGCCGGGAACUCAAAGGAGACUGCCAGUGAUAAACUGGAGGAAGGUGGGGAUGACGUCAAGUCAUCAUGGCCCUUACGACCAGGGCUACACACGUGCUACAAUGGCGCAUACAAAGAGAAGCGACCUCGCGAGAGCAAGCGGACCUCAUAAAGUGCGUCGUAGUCCGGAUUGGAGUCUGCAACUCGACUCCAUGAAGUCGGAAUCGCUAGUAAUCGUGGAUCAGAAUGCCACGGUGAAUACGUUCCCGGGCCUUGUACACACCGCCCGUCACACCAUGGGAGUGGGUUGCAAAAGAAGUAGGUAGCUUAACCUUCGGGAGGGCGCUUACCACUUUGUGAUUCAUGACUGGGGUGAAGUCGUAACAAGGUAACCGUAGGGGAACCUGCGGUUGGAUCACCUCCUUACCUUAAAGAAGC
rnacentral:rRNA from 1 species